rnacentral:rRNA from 1 species
CUAAGUUUGAUGGCGACCGGCGCACGGGUGAGUAACACGUAUCCAACCUGCCGAUGACUCGGGGAUAGCCUUUCGAAAGAAAGAUUAAUACCCGAUGGCAUAGUUCUUCCGCAUGGUAGAACUAUUAAAGGAUUUCGGUCAUCGAUGGGGAUGCGUUCCAUUAGGUUGUUGGCGGGUAACGGCCCACCAAGCCUUCGACGGAUAGGGGUUCUGAGAGGAAGGUCCCCCACAUUGGAACUGAGACACGGUCCAAACUCCUACGGGAGGCAGCAUG